AAUUUGGAGAGUUUGAUCCUGGCUCAGGACGAACGCUGGCGGCAUGCCUAAUACAUGCAAGUCGAGCGGAGUUUGAGAGGAAGCUUGCUUCCUUUCAAACUUAGCGGCGGACGGGUGAGUAACACGUAGGCAACCUGCCCUCAAGCCUGGGAUAACUACCGGAAACGGUAGC
rnacentral:rRNA from 1 species